AACGAACGCUGGCGGCAUGCCUAACACAUGCAAGUCGAACGAGACCUUCGGGUCUAGUGGCGCACGUGUGCGUAACGCGUGGUAACCUGCCCUUAGGUUCGGAAUAACUCCCCGAAAGGGGUGCUAAUACCGGAUAAUGUCUUCGGACCAAAGAUUUAUCGCCUUUGGAUGGGCCCGCGUUGGAUUAGCUAGUUGGUAGAGUAAAAGCAUAACAAGGCGAAGAUACAUAACUGGUCUGAGAGGAUGAUAAACAACACUGGGAUUGAGACACGGCCCAGACUACUACAGAAUGCAGCAGUGGGGAAUAUUACACAAUGGGCCAAAGCCUAAUACAGCAAUGCCGCGUAAGUUAUGAAUCCCUUAGGAUUGUAAAGCUCUUUUACCCAGGAUGAUAAUGACAGUACCGGAAGAAUAAGCCCCGGCUAACUCCGUG
rnacentral:rRNA from 1 species